rnacentral:lncRNA from 1 species
UAUUAGUGAACUGGUCUAUUAAGACAGAGUGUAACUGAAAUAGUACAUGUAUAUUACAGUCAGUGCCCAAUAUGUGAUUCUGUUGAUACAGCAGUUAAGUUUUCUUUUGCAUUUUACAGCGAUGUUAUCUAUUAACUUGUUGUCAAUAGUAACACCCAGGAAUUUGGUCGAUUGCAAGAUUUGGAUUCAGUGGUUUUGGAUAAACUUAAAUAGAGAGUUAUUGGUCUUCUUUGUAAAAAUGACUGCAAUUGUGUUGGGAUGAGAUGCUUUAGCUUGAAACCCAAUAUUUCGCACUAGAAGAGAAUGGUGUCGUUUUUGGAUUUUUUCCUCAAGGAAAGAGAUGUUUCUGUUGGAUUUCUAAAUUUCUACCAGUAUACAUGUAUAUUACCGGUAUCUGCAUCUUGAGAAACUCUGACAUUAAGGAGGUUGUGAGAGUGAUCAACAUCAAGAGUAGUAGGCUAAUAAUGUUGCCCUGGGGGACAACAUUUUCUGAAAUUCUUUCAGUGGAAAGGGUUUUAGUCUUAUUUGUACCAGUAGCUUGCAUUUUCUAAGAAACUUGUUUUUCAGGCUUUGUUGAUGGCCAAUUCAAGAUUAAGGAUGUGGUAUGGAGUGGAUAGGGUGACAAAAUGAAGAUACAGUGUAUGGCAGGAUCUUUCCCCAGUUGGAGAAUGGGAAUGAGGACUACAGUGAGAACGCAUCUGUGCUGGUCUACUGACACCAUUGUGCUGUCUUGGGAGGGAGCCAGCAGAUAGACCACGCCCACCCAUUCCACUUUGUCACUAUCUGGUGGUCAUUAAAGGACACCAUUCAGGUCGAUGGGGUGUAUUAAUGAACGGUUGACUGAUGGAGCAGGAAAUUCAUUAAGGCAGUAAAGAGUUUUGUUUUCAGUCUUUUUAAACACAAUCUCUGGUCACUGCAAGAUGCCGAAGUCUGGGAAGAGAGUGGCAGCAACCGUUUGGCCUUCUGAGGGGAGGAAACCGCACUGAAAGCCUCGCUCUGCUACCGGUAAGCCUACGCAAAGCCGGGGAGAUGCUUCUGAGGCAACCCCACGUUCGGUUGGGCUAGAGAAAAGUAUACCGGCAGCAGCCACACCAUCAUCUGCAAUUCCUUCUAGUGCUGUAGAUGGAUCUCUCCCACCCGGACGCCCGCAAAGUGCUGCCGCUGCACUGCCUGUGACUUCGGGGCUUGAAUGCUGGACAUGCCUCAUGGAUAAGAACUUGAGUUUCUCCUGCCCUAACGGCUGCAUCAGAGGGGCUACUGUCAGCACGUGUCAUGAUCUGUAUCGUUCAUAGGCACAUGUAUAAUGGGUGAAUGGGUGGCUGUGUAGACCAGCCACUGAGUACCCGGAGGCAGUACGGGCAACGCUGAUGUGGAAACUCUUGCUGGUUAUCGCUACAAAGAAACUCACCCGCGACUGUGUCUUUCACAGACUGCAACGGACUCCAUGAGCAAGUCUCUUCCAGGGCAGCUCCUUGAAAGAACUGAUCAUCAGUUACAUGUACAAGGAAUACUACGUUAUUUUUUAUCAUGGGAGAUGGGCUGGUUCU